GAUACCCAGGAAUCUUUGAGGCUGUGUUAGUUGUGCAUGAAUUGGUGCCAGUGCCCAGUGAAUAACCAUGCACUCCAGCCUGGGCAACAUAGUGAAACCCCAUUAAAUAAAUAAAUUAAUACAUAAAUAAGUUACAGAGAUCACUGUUUAUACUUCUAUUAUUAGGGCUCAAAACCUCUAGAUAGAGUUUUUGUUUGUUUGUUUGUUUGUUUUGCGUUGGAGUCUCACUCUGUACCCAGGCUAGAGUGUAGUGGUGCGAUCUCAGCUCACUGAAACCUCCACCUCCCAGGUUGAUGCCAUUCUCCUGCCUCAGCCUCCCGAGUAGCUGGGACUACAGGUGCCUGCCACCACGCCUGGCUAAUUUUUAUGGUUUUGGUAGAAACGGGGUUUCACCGUGUUAGCCAGGAUGGUCUCGAUCUCCUGACCUCAUGGUCCACCCGCCUCGGCCUCCCAAACUGCUGGGAUUACAGGCGUGAUGAGCCACUGCACCAGGCCUGAGAUUUUUCUUUAUCUUUGGAGAACUACGACUCCAGGGCAAACUUUCAAGUAAUGCUUUGCCAUUUUUACUUUCCCUCUCAAGGAUUCCUGGGACUAUACUUUGUAAAAUUAUCACACAGCAUGUAUUUUAUUUUUACUUCUGUUUCCUGUUAAGGCCUCUCUGGAUGGUGGCUAUAACCUAUAGCCUUGCCCAGUACGACUCAGGGUUUGGUACUGAAUGUGCCUUUCAUGGAAUGCUUGCUUAUCCUGAUCGAUGGCCUAAAGCCGAACUGUCCAGCUUACAUCCGGGGUCUCAAGCCACCCAGGCUGGAAUGCAGUGGCACAAUUAUGGCUCACUGUAGCCUCACCUUCCUGGGAUCAAGCGAUCCUCUUCAGCCUCCAGAGGAGCUGGGACCACAGGCAAGUGCUACCACAUACAGCUAAUUUUUUCAUUUUUUUGUAGCAAUAAGGUCUCACUAUCUUGCUCACACUGAUCUCAAAUAGCUGAGCUCAAGCAAUCCUCCCAUCUUAGCCUCCCUAAAGUUCUAGUAUUACAGGCACGAGCCACAGUGCCCAGUGAGGACAUUACAGGCCUGAGCCACUGUGUCCAACGAGGCCAUUGUUAAAGACACAGUCGACAAAGAAAUUUGGUCAUUUCUGUGGAACAUAGCAAUUUAACAUAGUAAACAUAAUUAUUACUGAUAACAUAUACGAAGACAUAUUAGAAUUAUAGGAACCAUAUAAAUUUGGAAUACAUCCUAAUAACAUAUUUAUAUAAAUAUAACCCAAAGAAAGUUAAACAUAAUUUUGUAUUUGACAAUGUUUUCUGUAGGUUAAUAUGCCAAAUAAACUAAAUAUGUCUCUUUUGGACUUCAGGGGACCUAAUACUUAAAAGACUAAUGAGUUAAAAUAAAAAUUCUUAGUUUAUAAUUGUAUUUUUCAAAGUUUGCGAGUGUUAAAGGCUUAAAACACUUCAUAUCACCAAAUAGAAUCCCANNNNNNNNNNNNNNNNNNNNNNNNNNNNNNNNNNNNNNNNNNNNNNNNNNUAUCACCAAAUAGAAUCCCAGAUAACCACAAAUCAUUUGCUUAGCCAAAAUGAUAGCUCAAAAAUUUUAAAAGUCAAAAGUCUUUAUUCAUUGGUUGGGAGGAGACUCUGCUCUCCCAACAACAGGACCAAAUAAAGUCAGCAUGAGGCCAUCUGAAUCUGAUUGUUCUCUCUCCCCUACUUUUUUCAGUUUAUUUAGAAGACAAAUAAAAAAUAGUUUAUUAUCUCUCAGUAUUAUACAGAAAUCUCGUUUCAAGAGAAAACCAAAUUUUACCUUUGCAUUAGUGUUUUAUUAAUGUCAAACCCAAUUUUUACAUAAAACCUUAUAAACAAACCUAUCAAAUCUAAAUCAGUUUGACCAUAACUGUUUACAACUUUGCACUAAACAACUGAUUAAUGGUCAAUGAAAACUCUGUUUAUCACACAUUAGCAUGCAGAUUCUGGGCCUGUGUCAUUGUGAUUUUUACAUUAAUGAACAUUCUGUAGAAAAACUAAGUAACCCGCUUCAAGUUUUGGCAAGCUACUCACACUCACACCCCGAGCUUUCUUUACAAGGCCAAUCUUCUACAAACCUUUUAUAACUUGCUUAAACCUUAUGUUUUGUCCUAUUAUUUUUUUAACUUAAGACAAUUUUUAAAACCUCUAAUUUAGACAAGAUUACUUUUUAAAACAAAAAUCGUAUCUUUAGGUCUUUUUAUUAUUUUUUACAAAAACACAUUUUAUAAUUUUUAUAUGCCUUGAAUGUAAAUAUUUUCUCAGUAGUAUCAGUUACACGUGUUAUAGUGUUAAAUCUUCACAAAUUUAAUUUUUAGUGAAAGCAGUUUUAAUUUCAUACCAAGUGCAGAGCCUAGGACACAGGACAGAAAUGAAGAUAAUGUCUGACUCUUUCCAACAUAGCUAGGGGGCAUGGCUAACUCAACAUGUCCCCAGGCUUUACCUAGAAGCUACUGGCUCUAAUGCAGGCAGGU
ensembl:lincRNA